UCAAAACAGCGGCCUUCGGGCCACGCUGCACCCUUGUCUUUUGCGCACCGUAUUGUUUCCUCGGCGGGCUUGCCUGCCGGUUGGACAUCAUAAAAACUUUUUGUAGUUGCAAUCAGCGUCAGAAAAACAAUAAUUAUUA
rnacentral:misc_RNA from 1 species